GAUGAACGCUAGCGGCAGGCCUAAUACAUGCAAGUCGUGCGGAUGCCUUCGGGCAUUAGCGGCGCACGGGUGCGUAACGCGUAAGCAACCUACCCACUACUGGGGGAUAGCCCGCCGAAAGGUGGAUUAAACCCGCAUGACGCAGGGGCACGGCAUCAUGCUAUUUGCUAAAAAUUUAUUGGUAGUGGAUGGGCUUGCGUCUGAUUAGCUAGUUGGUGGGGUAACGGCUAACCAAGGCGAUGAUCAGUAGGGGCUCUGAGAGGAGCGGCCCCCACACUGGCACUGAGAUACGGGCCAGACUCCUACGGGAGGCAGCAGUAGGGAAUAUUGGGCAAUGGAGGCAACUCUGACCCAGCCAUGCCGCGUGUAGGAAGAAGGCGUUCUGCGUUGUAAACUACUUUUAUCGGGGAAGAAACGUCAUCUUGCGAGGUGAUUUGACGGUACUCGAGGAAUAAGCACCGGCUAACUCCGUGCCAGCAGCCGCAGUAAAAC
rnacentral:rRNA from 1 species